rnacentral:lncRNA from 1 species
GUCAUUCUCUGCCUUCUUACUAUCUGCUAAAAUGAGCAUGCAGGAUUCUCAGAGCUUGGCUGGGCCUGGGGAUGAACAGCAAAUAAUGAUGUCAGCUUUGGAGCCUGAAGGGGCUUUUGAAGAUCUCAGCAUCAUCGAAUGAGAGCAGGAAGGGGCCUCAGGGGUCAUCUGCCAAUCAAUAAAUCAAUCAACAAGCAUUUAUUCAUCGCCUACUGUGUGCCAGGCAAAAAUACAGUCCUUGGCUUUCAUCCUAGUGGCCAGUGGGAGCUCACAUUCUAACCCAGAAUCUAACCUCCUUCUUUCAUCAAGAAGAAAACUGAAGCAAGUGUACACUGGCAGGGCCUCUAGCAGGAGCCAGCGGGAUUUCCACGCCAUCGCUCUGCCUGCAAGACUCCAAGUGGACAGUCUGGACAUUGCCAUAUGUUUGGCCACCAGCUGCUGCAGAAGCCCAGCUCUCCACCUCCAAUCCAACAACCACAGGGACCCAAGGAGUCAUCCUUGGCAGGUCGCAGUUUCAGUCUGCGCCAAUCCAUCCAAGAAGCCUAAAGCAACCCCCAGAGCUUUCCUGAGCCCUCCAUCAGCUCACAGACCAGGAGGCCUGUGAUAAGUAUGCCCUGCCAUUUGCUGAGCGGGAUUUGACAGCGAUGCCCACAGACAAGGUAGCCUCUGCUCUGCUUUUGGCCCAAACCACCCUGUCUGGAUUGUGCAUCUAGAAAGGUCAUGGUCAAAAGAGCUUCUUAUCAAUCAAGGCAUCAGGCACAGAAAAAAUCCCACUCUGGGAGAUGGUGAGACAUGCCAGUUUCAAAACAUUGCUGUUCAUUGGAUGACUCAUGUUAAUGUGAUCUUAGAAUAGUAAACACACCCCCACAUGGAGGGUGAUAUUAGUUGAAUUAUCUAGGAGAGAGAGAGAGAGAGAGAGAGAGAGAGAGAGAGAGAGAGAGAGAGAGAGAGAGAGAGAGAGAGAGGAAGCAGCAGCAUCUGGCUAGAAGAAGAACCACUGAGGCACCAUCUGUAAAGUUCAGUCUGUGACUUUAGCUUAACCGCUGGCUGCUGGGGGGGGGAGACCCCACGCUCUGCCUUGUUCCCCACUUUAGCCUCUUCCAAAGAAAGCUGAAGGGGGUGGGGCGCAGAAUCAGAGAACAAAGGUCUCCGUCUUCUAAAAUUGUCACUCACUUGGAUUGGGUAAGAGUUUCUCAAGAAUUCUAAAUGUCUCGGGGCAGGAAGUAAGUUGAUCACAGGGUUAACACUCAGUCCCGUGGCUGUGCCAGGAAUUGGGUUUUCUAUGCUGCGGUGACCAGGAUGGGCACAGACAAGCCCAGGUGCCCCCCUUGGGGCUCUGCACUCAGUUCUCUGCUCCGCCAACAUAGCACAGCUAACCAGAAUAGCACUAGGGAGAAGAGGCUGGGAAGGGGAGUGGACUUGGCAGCUUGGGGCUUUCUCUGCGAUUUCUAACCCUGGAAUAUUGCCUGGAGCACUGAUGAGUCAGGUGACUUGCCAGGGUCAUCUCACCAGGACGAGUCAGAAGUUCUCCUUGAAAUUAGAUCUUCUCAGCACUGGGGCGAGCUCUCCAUCCAUCAGGCCAUGGUGACUCAUGUAUAAUAUUAAUGAUAAUAAAACGAUAGUUACGUCACCCUUUUUAUGCUUA